AGAUAGUUGAAUUACCUGGAAAGGUAAGACAAAGAGGGUGAAAUCCCCGUAAACGAAAUCUUGAACGAGCGAGCGGAAUCCGGAGUACGUCGGGACACGAGAAAUCCUGACGGAAGGAACGGGGACCAUCCCGUAAGGCUAAAUACGACCACGUGACCGAUAGCGAAUAGUACCGUGAGGGAAAGGUGAAAAGGACCCCGGGAGGGGAGUGAAAAAGAACCUGAAACCGUAAGUUUACAAGCAGACGGAGAGCGUUAAGAGCUCGACGUCGUACUUUUUGUAGAACGGGCCGGCGAGUUACGAUGUGAUGCGAGGUUAAGCGAUGAAGUCGCGGAGCCGAAGCGAAAGCGAAUCUGAAAAGGGUGGUAAGUAUCAUGUCGUAGACCCGAAACCGAAUGACCUAACCAUGAGCAGGUUGAAGCAAUGGUAAAACGUUGUGGAGGACCGAACACACGCCUGUUGAAAUAGUCGGUGAUGACUUGUGGUUAGCGGAGAAAUUCCAAACGAAUUCGGAUAUAGCUGGUUCUCCUCGAAAUAGCUUUAGGGCUAGCCUCGCGAGACAGACUAUGAAGGUAAAGCACUGAAUGACCUAGGGGGCUUCACAGCCUACCGAAGUUUAUCAAACUAAGAAUGUUAUAGUUAAAGGCGCGGGAGUCAGACAGCGACAGCUAAGUGCCGUUGUCAAAAGGGAAACAGCCCAGAUCUACAGCUAAGGUCCCAAAGUCAGGUUAAGUGGAAAAGGAUGUGACGAUGCAAAGACAACCAGGAUGUUGGCUCAGAAGCAGCCACGCAUUAAAAGAGUGCGUAAUAGCUCACUGGUCGAGUGACGUUGCGCCGAAAAUUAACGGGGCUCAAACCUGACACCGAAGCUUAGGAAUACUUUAAGGAGUAUUGGUAGAGGAGCAAUGUAUACGAGAAGAAGGCGUACCGGAAGGAGCGCUGGAUUGUAUAGAAGAGAGAAUGCCGGCAUAAGUAGCGAGAGCGGAGCGAGAAACUCCGCCGUCGAAAGUCUGAGGUUUUCCGGGGAAGGUUCGUCCGCCCGGAGAAAGUCGGGACCUAAGCGGAGGCCGAAAGGCGUACGUGAUGGACAGCAGGUUGAUAUUCCUGCACUACCGAGAGAGAUAAUGAAGCAAUGACACGGAAAGAUAGAAGAAGCGCGCGGAUGGAAAAGCGCGUCCAAGCAAAGAGGGUGGCUGGUAGUAAAGAACGCCAGUCGGAAGCCUGAUUUGUGACGGGGAGUGGACCAAGGAAACGAAGUCUUUGAAUCUACGCCGGCGAGAAAAGUUGCUAAAUAUUUCGAGGUACCCGUACCGCAAACCGACACAGGUAGACGAGAAGAAAAUUCUAAGACGAACGGGAGAACCCUUGUUAAGGAACUCGGCAAAACGACCCCGUAACUUCGGGAGAAGGGGAGCCAUCGAGAGAUGGCCGCAGUGAAGAGGCCCAAGCGACUGUUUAUCAAAAACACAGGUUUCUGCUAAGGCGAAAGCCAAGGUAUAGGAGCUGACUCCUGCCCAGUGCCGGAAGGUCAAGGGGACUUGUUAGCAGUAAUGCGAAGCAACGAACUUAAGCCCCGGUGAACGGCGGCCGUAACUAUAACGGUCCUAAGGUAGCGAAAUUCCUUGUCGGGUAAGUUCCGACCCGCACGAAUGGAGUAACGAUUUGGGCGCUGUCUCAACAGGGGGCCCGGCGAAAUUGUAGUAUACGUGAAGAUGCGUAUUAACCCGCGACUGGACGGAAAGACCCCGUAGAGCUUUACUGUAGCUUGAUAUUGAAUCUCGGCAACUGAUGCACAGAAUAGGUGGGAGACUAAGAAGCAGCGUUUUCGGGCGCUGCGGAGUCAACUUUGGGAUACCACUCUUCGGUUGCUGCGAUUCUAACCGAAAACCGUGAAACC
rnacentral:rRNA from 1 species